rnacentral:rRNA from 1 species
GGCAACAGCUCAAAUUUGAAAUCUGGCCCCCUCGGGGCCCGAGUUGUAAUUUGGAGAAGAUGCUUCGGGUGUGGCCCCGGUCUAAGUUCCUUGGAACAGGACGUCACAGAGGGUGAGAGCCCCGUA